rnacentral:rRNA from 1 species
AGCGUUGUUCGGAUUUACUGGGCGUAAAGGGCGCGUAGGCGGCAAUUCAAGUCAUCUGUGAAAUCUCUGGGCUUAACCCAGAACGGCCAGGUGAUACUGCUUUGCUAGAGUGCGGAAGGGGCAAUCGGAAUUCUUGGUGUAGCGGUGAAAUGCGUAGAUAUCAAGAGGAACACCUGAGGUGAAGACGGGUUGCUGGGCCGACACUGACGCUGACAGCGCGAAAGCCAGGGGAGCAAACGGG